rnacentral:rRNA from 1 species
AGUGGUCAUAUGCUUGUCUCAAAGAUUAAGCCAUGCAUGUCUAAGCAUAGCUGGUAACAGUGAAGCCGCGAAUAGCUCAUUACAACAGCCGUUGUUUCUUGGAUCUACUCUCUACUUGGAUAACUGUGGUAAUUCUAGAGCUAAUACAUGCAUCAAGACCCGACGCAAGGACGGUCGCAUUUAUUAGAACAAAACCAUCCGGUCUCCGGACCGUACUUUGGUGACUCUGAAUAACUGAGCAAAUCACAUGGUCUCGCACCGGUGAUGUAUCUUUCAAGUGUCUGCCUUAUCAACUUUCGAUGGUAGUUUAUGUGCCUACCAUGGUUGUAACGGGUAACGGAGAAUCAGGGUUUGACUCCGGAGAGGGAGCCUGAGAAACGGCUACCACUUCUAAGGAAGGCAGCAGGCGCGCAAAUUACCCAUUCUCGGUACGAGGAGGUAGUGACGAAAAAUACCAAGCCGAGGCUCAUUGAGUUUCGGCAUUGGAAUGAGAACAAUCCAAAUCUUUUAACGAGGAUCUAGUGGAGGGCAAGUCUGGUGCCAGCAGCCGCGGUAAUUCCAGCUCCGCAAGUGUAUAUCUAUUUUGCUGAGUUUAAAAAGCUCGUAGUUGGAUCUGCGUGUUCAGCAUCUGGUGCGGUCUCUGGCCGCUACUGGAAUGCGACACAUCGAAUGUCGGUUUGCCGUCGAUGCUCUUCAUCGGGUGUCGGCGGUGGCUGAUGAGUUUACUUUGAACGAAUUAGAGUGCUCAACGCAGGCGUUUCGCUUGUAUAUUUCUGCAUGGAAUAAUAGAAUAGGACCUCGGUUCUAUUUUGUUGGUUUUCGGAAGUGAGGUAAUGAUUAAGAGGGACUGACGGGGGCAUUCGUACUGCGACGUGAGAGGUGAAAUUCUUGGAUCGUCGCAAGACGCACUACUGCGAAGGCAUUUGCCAAGAAUGUUUUCAUUAAUCAAGAACGAAAGUAACGGGUUCGAAGGCGAUCAGAUACCGCCCUAGUCGUUACCGUAAACGAUAUUGACUGGGAGCAUGUCGGAGUUUCCAAGAACCCGAUAUGAACCCAACGGGAAACCUCAAGUUCAAUUACUGGGGGAGUACGAUUGCAAAUUCGAAACUUAAAGGAAUUGACGGAAGGGCACCACCAGGGGUGGAGCCUGCGGCUUAAUUUGACUCAACACGGGGAAACUCACCCGGCCCGGACACCGGAAGGAUUGACAGAUUGAGAGCUCUUUCUUGAUUCGGUGGGUGGUGGUGCAUGGCCGUUCUUAGUUGGUGGAGUGAUUUGUCUGGUUAAUUCCGAUAACGAACGAGACUCUGGCCUACUAAAUAGUCGUCGGA